rnacentral:RNase_P_RNA from 1 species
UUCUCAUAUUGGGUAGUUGCUGUCAAUGCGUAACAUUGACAGAGGAAAGUCCGAACAUUCUCCGUUUAUUGCGGAAAACAGGUAGCGGGUAAUACCCGUCCGGAGUGAUCCGAGAGGUGCGAGCAGUGACGCUUUACCCGAAAGGUGUAGAGCUCCCCACGCGGGAGAUUCCUGCAGUAAUGCAGGGGUGAAACGGCUAAACCCUUAUCCGAAUGCAAGGCCGUAUCCUAGCAUCUCACUGUCGUGAGAUGCUAGGAAGUGCCGCUUGAGGCUAUUGGCAACAAUAGUCCCAGAUAAAUAACUACCACUCUGGAUUACUGGAGACUAGAGUCUAGAAAACUGGAUUUUUUUACUAUUCAUCUUUAUCAAUAUCCAGUCUCUGGUUUCUAGCCUCCAGUAUUUCUAGAGUUACAGAAUUCGGCUUAUAGAUAUGAGAAUACC